rnacentral:rRNA from 1 species
UACGUAGGGGGCAAGCGUUGUCCGGAUUCAUUGGGCGUAAAGAGCUCGUAGGCGGCUUGGCAAGUCGGGUGUGAAACCUCCAGGCUCAACCUGGAGACGCCACCCGAUACUGCCAUGGCUAGAGUCCGGUAGGGGACCACGGAAUUCCUGGUGUAGCGGUGAAAUGCGCAGAUAUCAGGAGGAACACCGAUGGCGAAGGCAGCUCGCUGGGACGGUACUGACGCUGAGGCGCGAAAGCGUGGGGAGCGAACAGG